rnacentral:rRNA from 1 species
AUUGAACGCUGGCGGCAUGCCUUACACAUGCAGGUCGAACGGCAGCACGGGAGCAAUCCUGGUGGCGAGUGGCGAACGGGUGAGUAAUAUAUCGGAACGUGCCCAGUCGUGGGGGAUAACGUAGCGAAAGCUACGCUAAUACCGCAUACGAUCUAUGGAUGAAAGCGGGGGAUCGCAAGACCUCGCGCGAUUGGAGCGGCCGAUAUCAGAUUAGGUAGUUGGUGAGGUAAAGGCUCACCAAGCCGACGAUCUGUAGCUGGUCUGAGAGGACGACCAGGCCACACUGGGACUGAGACACGGCCCAGACUCCUACGGGAGGCAGCAGUGGGGAAUUUUGGACAAUGGGCGCAAGCCUGAUCCAGCAAUGCCGCGUGCAGGAUGAAGGCCUUCGGGUUGUAAACUGCUUUUGUACGGAACGAAACGGUGAGCUCUAAUACAGUUUGCUAAUGACGGUACCGUAAGAAUAAGCACCGGCUAACUACGUG